rnacentral:lncRNA from 1 species
AUGAAGACUAGAUUGUUUCCAUGACUUGAACACCCAUUCCUCCACCUUGACACAGGGUCUGCCAUUGCCCUCAAUGACCACCUGGCUUACAGAGUGAAGUGAAGGAGCAGAGUGAAGACUCCCCCUCUAUGCUGUACAUCAAGCUCUUCUCUAGCUCUUCUCCAACAGCUGAGACAGGAAAUGAGACAAGGAAGGAUGCGUGUCCAACUUUCUUCAACCACUAAGAAUAAAGGGAGAGAGCAAAAUGUCAACAGGACCAGAAUCAGAUCUUGAAAGAACAAGAACAUGGAGACUUGGAGACAAGAGGAAAGGAACAGAAAAAACCACCCUUAUAAGAUCAGAAGAUUUAGUAUCAUCUCACAGCUCCCUUCAUUUGAGAGAAAACACGGGUACAAGCAGGAGGAGUGGGAAAAGGAGAAGCAGGAUCCCUGCUGAGUAUGGAGCCUGAUGCAGGACUCCAUCCCAGGACCCUGGGAUCAUGACCUGAGCCGAAGGCAGAGGCUUAUUAACCAACUGAGACACCCAGGCACCCCUAUCACUAUUAUUAUUAAAAAGUUUAAAAGACUUAAAAUUAGAAUGAUUUGUAUGCCACCAGCUUUUCAUACUCCCUUAAUAUCCUAAUGUGAAGAGAAUCUCCCAAAAAAGGGACCUUAAUACAAUUUUCCAGACUUUUUGGCACCUUUUUUUUUUCCUCAAAGCACCUUGGAGAGAAAAUGUCUUUCUCUCUUUACCUGUGUCAGAAAAGAUACCUUAAGCCAUUCUUAGCUUUAAUUUCAUAGUGGAAAUCAAUUCUCAGAUUAAAUCUGCCAGCAGUUUAAA